AACGAACGCUGGCGGCAUGCCUAACACAUGCAAGUCGAACGAGACCUUCGGGUCUAGUGGCUCACGGGUGCGUAACGCGUGGGAACCUGCCCUUAGGUUCGGAAUAACUCAGAGAAAUUUGAGCUAAUACCGGAUAAUGUCUUCGGACCAAAGAUUUAUCGCCUUUGGAUGGGCCCGCGUAGGAUUAGCUUGUUGGUGGGGUAAUGGCCUACCAAGGCGACGAUCCUUAGCUGGUCUGAGAGGAUGAUCAGCCACACUGGGACUGAGACACGGCCCAGACUCCUACGGGAGGCAGCAGUGGGGAAUAUUGGACAAUGGGCGAAAGCCUGAUCCAGCAAUGCCGCGUGAGUGAUGAAGGCCUUAGGGUUGUAAAGCUCUUUUACCAGGGAUGAUAAUGACAGUACCUGGAGAAUAAGCUCCGGCUAACUCCGUG
rnacentral:rRNA from 1 species